GUGGGGAAUAUUGGACAAUGGGGGGAACCCUGAUCCAGCCAUGCCGCGUGUGUGAAGAAGGCCUUUUGGUUGUAAAGCACUUUAAGCGAGGAGGAGGCUACCGAGAUUAAUACUCUUGGAUAGUGGACGUUACUCGCAGAAUAAGCACCGGCUAACUCUGUGCCAGCAGCCGCGGUAAUACAGAGGGUGCAAGCGUUAAUCGGAUUUACUGGGCGUAAAGCGCGCGUAGGUGGCCAAUUAAGUCAAAUGUGAAAUCCCCGAGCUUAACUUGGUAAUUGCAUUCGAUACUGGUUGGCUAGAGUAUGGGAGAGGAUGGUAGAAUUCCAGGUGUAGCGGUGAAAUGCGUAGAGAUCUGGAGGAAUACCGAUGGCGAAGGCAGCCAUCUGGCCUAAUACUGACACUGAGGUGCGAAAGCAUGGGGAGCAAACAGGAUUAGAAACCCGGGAGUCC
rnacentral:rRNA from 1 species